rnacentral:rRNA from 1 species
GUUUAUGGAGUGCAAUGUUUCCCUUAACAGCAUCAAAUCCCAUGUGAUCUUGCAAGGUAAGCAUAGUCAGCCCUGGUUAGUACUUGGAUGGGAAAUCACCAAUUAAUACCAGGCACUGUAGGCU